CUCCCCGUUGCUGACCCCAGGUUCGAUAGCGCCAAUUAGGGCGCCACCUCGCCAAGAACCAGCUUCGGUGAAGCGACGGGCGGUGUGUGCAAGGAG
rnacentral:rRNA from 1 species